GACGAACGCUGGCGGCGUGCUUAACACAUGCAAGUCGAACGGAAAGGCCCUGCUUUUGUGGGGUGCUCGAGUGGCGAACGGGUGAGUAGCACGUGAGUAACCUGCCCUUGACUUUGUGAUAACUUCAGGAAACUGGGGCUAAUACCGGAUAGGAGCUCCUGCUGCAUGGUGGGGGUUGGAAAGUUUCGGCGGUUGGGGAUGGACUCGCGGCUUAUCAGCUUGUUGGUGGGGUAGUGGCUUACCAAGGCUUUGACGGGUAGCCGGCCUGAGAGGGUGACCGGCCACAUUGGGACUGAGAUACGGCCCAGACUCCUACGGGAGGCAGCAGUGGGGAAUAUUGCACAAUGGGCGGAAGCCUGAUGCAGCAACGCCGCGUGCGGGAUGACGGCCUUCGGGUUGUAAACCGCUUUCGCCUGUGACGAAGCGUGAGUGACGGUAAUGGGUAAAGAAGCACCGGCUAACUACGUG
rnacentral:rRNA from 1 species